AUGGGAUUUAUACAUUCUUGCAAUCAAAUUUACCAUUAGUAAGUUUUAUAUGAUACGUCUUAGCUUUUAACAUUGUGUUUCAGAUGGAUGAUGGUUGAAUAAAUGAACCUACUGGUGCACUGUGUUCGGGGAACGAGGUUAUUUUUUCAAAUUUACCAUUAGUUUAGUUUUAUAUGAUGCAUCUCAGCGUUUGACAUUGUGUUUCAGAUGGAUGAUGGUUGAAUAAACAACCCUACCGGUGCUUCGUGUUCAGGGAACAAGAAUAUUUUGUUCAAGCUAUCGUGGGAAUUCUGCACUGCUUUGACAAUGACAGUGAUAUGAAAGAUGCUAGGAGUAUUGGCAGUGAGUUGAAUGGAAUGCAACUUCUAAGGACAACAUGGAACAUGAAAGAUUAUGUUCUUAUGACUGUGAUAAUACUUUGGCACAAAGAUCUAUUUCCUUCAAUUACUCAGAUCAGUGGUUUUUCACGAUUAAUUGGGGCCCCUUUGCGGACUUUGGUGAGCUCUCAAACUUCUAAUUGAUUUGGUAAACAUGGAAAUUUUACAUAAUUUAUAUAUAUGCAUGGAAUACCAGUAAGCUUCCUCAUUCCUUCCCUAUCUCCUUGUCCUCCCUCUCUCAGUUUUUUCCUCCCUUUCUCUAUCCCCCUUGCUCCCAUCUUUAUUUCCCUCUCCCUCUCUUUCUGCCUCUCACUCUACCUCUCCUCCUUCCAUUCCUGUUAUUCGAGUGUUAAUUGGAGUACUGUGUUUAAAUGUUAUUUGGGAGGAUUUUUGGUUAGAAUUGUCCCUUUGUUGGUUAUGGUUAUUACUCAAGGCUCGUAUAUUAGGUACUAGAUGAGAAUGAUAUGAAUAUUUUUCUUUCCAUUUAUUGUUCUAAUACCUAUCUCCUCUCUCGGUCUCUAUCUUUAAUUGUGGUUGGUUUGUUUGUUGAUUGCUUGUUUAGUGGUUUCUCUAUGUCGAGGUGUCCUGCCAAAAUCUCUUCCAAUAGCAACCAAGCUAUUGAGUCCACUUUUCCUCCCUUUCUCUUUCUCUUCCCUUCCUUAUCUCCUCUUUCUCUCACUCCUUUUGUCUACCCGUCUUUUAAAUUAUUAUUUUUUGGGGGGAUGAGGGGAUGGGGGGAAGGUUGCAGCUUCUAGUCUACAGAGUGAGUGUGAAAGRUCUUCAUGUAGUCCAUAGCUACAAUUAUUUUUCUUGCUUCUUUACAGACGUUGACUGUUUUUGUUAUUCUUCAUUUGUUGCGAUGUAGAGGUCUUCAUAUAGUGAGGUGUGAAAGGUCUUCUAGCUUUUUGUUCCCGCUUCUUCUUUAUAGUUGAGUGUUUUUGUUAUGUCUUUUGUUCCUCCCUCUUCCCUAUUUCAUCUCUCUCUUUCUCGUUGCUGUCCAUCCCUCUCUUUUUUCCUCACUUUCUCUCCCCAGCACUGUCCCUUUCUGCUUUUCUCUCAGUCUCACUCUCUCCCUCUUCCUCUCUCCUUCCACUCCAAUUUGUGUAUUAUCUGAGGGAUUGAAGCAUUUGUGUAUUAUCUGAGAAUUUGUGUUUCAAUGUUAUUUGCUUAGGAGGAUUUGUUUUGUUAGAAUGGUUUUUUAUUUGGUUAUGAUUAUUAUUCAAGGCUUGUAUUUGUAUUUUUUGUUUUAGAUGAGAAUUAUAUGAAUAUUUUUCUCCCCAUUUAUUGUUCAAAUACCUAUCUCCUCUCUGUCUCUACAUUUGUGGGUGGCUUGUUGAUGGCUUGUUUUAGUGGGUUCUUUGUUGAUUGCUAAUUUAUAUGAAAUUGUUACUUAUCUGUAGAUUAUUAUCAAUUCUUUCCCCGUCAACUUUUGGCUAAACGCCUAAACUUGAUUUAAUGCUUAUAGUCAUUAUAUUAUCAUGACAUUUUUAUCUUUGUUUUAUCCUUAGCAUGGAUAUCUCCCCCUUUUCCCUCCCUUUUUCUCCUCUCUCCUUGCAAAUAAUAUUAGUUGUUAGCUUCUUUAGUUUUGGACAAAGAAUACUAUCCUCCAUUUAUUUUCCUAGUUCUUGCUAGCUGUUUUUGUUAAUGUGGAGGGUAACUAGAUUGUUGGAGUUUGACGUUGUUUUGUUGGCAAAAUAUGUUAUUGUGUUAAAAUGUGUGAGGGGAGGAAGCACUUAGUUUCCAUUUCCUGUCCCUCCCUCACUUAGUAAAAGUAACUGUGGAAGCUUGUAGUGAGAAAUUUUUUUGAGAAUGUUUGUGGUUAUGUUUGUUAAAAUUCCGUUGUUUAGGUUUGUGGGUUCAUGUUUUGUUUGUUGUUGUCUUUCUCUCGUGUUCUGGCUGUUUCUAUGGUCUCUUUGUCGAUAUUGUGUCUCUAUUUUAAGCCGUGAGAUCCAUCUUUGAUUAAAGUCUCUGGUUUGAACCAAUACCCAGUCAAACUAGGGAUCCUCCGAUUUGAUCAGGUC